GGAGUCGGACAGGUCAUCGCUGCGAUCAGUGAUCGGAGAGGAAAGUCCGGGCUCCGUAGGGCAGGACGCUGGGUAACGCCCAGGGGGAGUGAUCCCCGUCAAGUGCAACAGAAAGUAGACCGCCUCCGGGUUUCCCGGAGGUAAGGGUGAAACGGUGGGGUAAGAGCCCACCAGCUGUCGUGGCAACGCGGCAGGCUAGGUGAACUCCGUCCGGAGCAAGACCAAAUAGGGUAGCGUACGUAGGUCGGCCCGACCGAUGCUACCGGGUAGGUUGCUUGAAGCGGCUGGUAACAGUCGCCCUAGAUGAAUGAUGACCGCCCCUCACGGGGAACAAGACCCGGCUUAUCGGCUGGCUCCAACU
rnacentral:RNase_P_RNA from 1 species